rnacentral:lncRNA from 1 species
CGCGUUCGGUACGCCACGAGAAAGGGGCUUUUGUCCCGACGAGUAAAGCUCGGUGAGUUGUGCGGAGCUCUCUGGAGGCAGCAAGGGGAAGAAAUGACAACCAGAAGGAAACCGGAGGUGGAUGCAAGGGAUGCAUCGUUGUGGAACAGAAAAUUGGUUCUCCAAACAAACUGCUCCAAGUGAGUGGAUGGAUGGGGAGAUGUCUGACAUUAACAACAUGUAACUGCUUUCUGAAAACCCUGGGAUACCUGAAAGCCUUAAGAAGGAGUGCUGCUGCAGUUGCAAAGCGAUAGAAUGAAGUCAAUACCCAAAAUGAUGCUGCAGCCACAUCUGGAGUUUGCUUCAGGUGGAGUGCUUUAUCUCUCUGAAAGGGAACGUCGCACAUCUCGGGGUCGUCUUAAAGAGAAACAGAAGAUGCAGAGGAGUACAUCCGAGAAAAGCACUUUAUUCCCUCAGCACAGAUUGACUCCCCAGGUCCCACCUGGAGCAGAACUUUCCCUGCAGUUCCCCCAGCACAGCUCUGGUACAUCCGUGCAGGAUUGGACUUACUGAGGGGUUUGCCUUCAUUUCUCCUUCUGCCCACUUUGGGGUGCCCGCAUUACCUGCAGCCACACGUCCUGCAUUGCUGCCUUGCCUCUGUUGUACCGCAUUCUGCUGAAAAAUACAUAGAAUGAAAAUGAUUUCCCACUUGUAAGGGCAGAAUAA